rnacentral:tmRNA from 1 species
CCCUUUGAAUUCCGGACGGCCAGCGCCUAUAUCCGGGAUGUCGGGCAACCGACUAUGGACAUAAACGCGCUCGUAAUAAGCGGAUCGGACCCGGGGGCGGUACCCGGCGGCUCCACCAAACAUCCCUUGUUGGGGGAUCAUGGGGCUGAAACAGGAUCGACGAACGUCUAAAGGGGUUUGCUUUGUCCCGGUGAGUUACCACCGUUAUCGGUACGCUAAGCAUAAUUGCCAACAACAAUCGUGCUCCGAUGGCUCUGGCCGCGUAAGCGGUUCGAUCUAUCGAAUCUUAAGCCCUUGCGCCUAGCAGCGUAAGGCGGGGUUCGCAGGUACCUGGCAACAGAAACCUGCAUU